rnacentral:rRNA from 1 species
CCUACGGGUGGCAGCAGUGAGGAAUCUUGGUCAAUGGGCGCAAGCCUGAACCAGCCAAGUAGCGUGAAGGAUGACUGCCCUACGGGUUGUAAACUUCUUUUAUAAAGGAAUAAAGUGAGACACGUGUGCCUUUUUGUAUGUACUUUCUGAAUAAGGAGCGGCUAACUACGUACCAGCAGCCGCUGUAAUAAGGAGGAUCCGAGCGUUAUCCGGAUUUAUUGGGUUUAAAGGCAGCGUAGAUGGGUUGUUAAGUCAGUUGUGAAAGUUUGCGGCUCAACCGUAAAAUUGCAAUUGAUACUGGCAGUCGUGAGUACAGUGGAGGUAGGCGGAAUUCGGUGUGUAGUGGUGAAAUGCUUAGAUAGCACGAAGAACUCCGAUUGCGAAGGCAGCUUACUAAACUGCCACUGACAUUGAUGCUCGAAAGUGUGGGUAUCAAACAGGAUUAGAUACCCGAGUC